rnacentral:tRNA from 1 species
UAUUCUGUGGCUUAGUUGGUUAAAGCGCCUGUCUAGCAAAUACGUAGUCGUGGGUUCGAAUACCACCAGAAUGC